GGUUUUCAAAGCAGUGGCCUUGAGAGGAAAUGGAGGAAUUAGCUCCUUCAAUAUGUAAUAUAGGGAUUUUGGAUACGCUAAGCGACGACUUGAUCAAUGAAAUUCUCGGGGACUACGCCGGAUUCUGUGCCGCCACUACAGCUCUUCUUAACGGCGCUGGUGAUAUCUCCGUGACGCCGGAGUUCGUGUCUCAUGUGCACUCGCUCUGCAAGCAUGGCCUUGGCUCUCUCGUUAACGAUUACUUCCUCAAGUCGUUGGAGGAAACAUUUGAGAAGAAUGGCAGUUCAAAAUUUUGGCAGCAUUUUGAUGCUUAUAGCAAUAUAGCAACUCUGGGGAAGCAUGAAACUCCUAUAUUUUACCAUGAGCUGCAGCAACUUUUGUGCAGAGCUCUUGAAGAGAUAUCCUCCGAGAAACAGUAUCAGGGGAAGUGCCUGUUAGUCUUAGUUCAUGCCUUGCAGUCUUACAAGGAGUGCUCAUCUGAGGAAAAACAUAAUUCAAAUGCUCAAAAAUCAUAUCUAUUUUCAAGGUAUCAGUUAAUGGUAUCUUCAGUUCUUAUGGCCAGCAUUCCUCGACAUUUUCCCGAAAUACUACACUGGUAUUUUAAGGGAAGGCUCGAGGAGCUGAGUACUAUCAUGGAGGGAGAGUUUAAUGGUGAUGGUGAUACUCCAGAUAAAGAUGACAUGGAUUUAGAUGAAAAAAGCAAACUGUCUUGUAGAAAUGGUGAAAUGGAAAUUGAUGAAUGCUUUCUUGAAGGUAGAUUCACAGAGAACAACAAGUUGGUGAAGAACAUUGGGAAAAUCGUUCGAGACCUCAGAAAUCUUGGAUUUACUUCUAUGACUGAAGAUGCCUAUGCUUCUGCCGUCUUUUUACUUUUGAAGCCUUUCAUGUCUUACUGUCACAUUUCUCAUUGUCAUCUAUGCUACUCAGGCUAAAGUGCAUGAUCUGGCUGGUGAUGAUUACAGGGCUUCUGUGCUGGAGUCCAUUAAAGGAUGGAUACAGGUUCCCUUCUUUACUUGUUUAUCAUUUCUAUUUCUUUCAGCCUGUAGAAUGAAUGGAUAAUAGAUGCCUUUACUUAUUCGUGGUUUAUCUUCAGUGAUUUCAUCCGCAUAUUGCGUUAAAUUGGCAGACAAUGGCUGCCCUUUACACUAAUGACUUUACUAUAUUUGUACCCAUUUACGAUUUAAACCAUGAUUGCUGGGGCAUUGAGCCCAGAGAAUGUCAUGUACAAGAGUCUAAUAUUUUGUUAUUAUACCAACAAGAAUAUGAUAUCAUUGAUUGAACAUUUUUAGCAUGAUGCUAUAAAGUUUGAACUGUAUUAUUCUAUUAUUAUUCUUGUAUCAAUAUUAUUAACGAAGAAGACGGAGGACCUAUUGUAAAUUCCAAUUGUCCUUGUGUUUAUGUGCAAAAUUGAAUGCUUUCUAUAUAAGCAUUCAAUAUCAUGCAAUCUCAUGAAGUGCCUUCGUAUCAUUGUUGACACUUCUUCAAAUUGUUUAGUUCUCUAGAUGUUAUGUUCUCUCUAUACUGUUUGGUCUAUGUUCCUGUGUUACUCAUGGAUGAUUCCUUGGAGAUAUAUUCUACAGGCUGUGCCUCUCCAGUUCUUGCAUGCACUUCUUGCUUAUCUUGGCGAUUCUGUUAGCUGUGAUAGCCCUUCCCCCGGUAUCAAAUCACCUUUGGCUUCUCAUCCAUCACCUUGUAACACUCCUUCUGAAGGGCUUAUUAGAUGGCAGUUGCGGCUAGAGUAUUUUGCCUAUGAAACAUUGCAAGAUCUGAGAAUAGCCAAACUAUUUGAGAUAAUAGUGGACUAUCCUGACAGCUCCCCUGCGAUUGAGGACUUAAAACAGUGCCUUGAAUAUACUGGACAACAUUCUAAGUUGGUUGAGUCAUUCAUUUCUUCACUGAGAUAUCGCUUACUCACUGCGGGUGCCUCAACCAAUGACAUACUGCAUCAGUAUGUUUCAACUAUUAAAGCACUGCGUACUAUUGAUCCUGCUGGUGUCUUUCUUGAAGCAGUUGGUGAGCCAAUAAGAGAUUAUUUAAGGGGUAGGAAAGACACCAUAAAGUGCAUUGUAACCAUGCUAACUGAUGGGACUGGGGGGAACCCAAAUGGAUCUGGAAUUACUGGGGAUAGCCUUCUUGAGGAAUUAAAUAGAGAUGAGGAAAGUCAAGAAAAUGCUGUUGCUGAUGAUGACUUCCACACUGAUGACAAGCAAGCAUGGAUCAACGCUUUACGCUGGGAGCCUGAUCCCAUAGAGGCUGAUCCAUCAAAGGGCAGUAGGACUCAAAGGAAGGUUGACAUACUGGGGAUGAUUGUUGGCAUAAUUGGUUCGAAAGACCAACUUGUUAAUGAAUAUCGUGUGAUGCUUGCUGAAAAGCUUCUCAACAAAUCUGAUUAUGACAUUGACUCAGAGAUAAGAACUUUGGAACUUCUCAAGAUACAUUUUGGAGACAGCAGUAUGCAGAGGUGUGAAAUUAUGCUUAAUGAUUUGAUUGAUUCCAAGAGAACAAACCAUAAUAUCAAAGCAACAAUACAGUCAACUCAAACAGGACAAGAGCAGCAAGAAACAGGAGUAUCUCUGGAUGUUCUUGAUGCCACCAUUAUAUCCUCAAAUUUUUGGCCUCCAAUCCAGGACGAAGCACUUAAUGUACCUGAGCCUGUUGAAAAACUGCUCACUGAUUAUGCCAAUAGGUUUCACGAAAUCAAGACUCCUCGUAAGUUACUUUGGAAGAAAAAUCUUGGCACUGUGAAGCUGGAGUUGCAAUUUGAAGAUAGAGCAAUGCCGUUUACAGUAUCACCUGUACAUGCUGCAAUUAUCAUGCAAUUUCAAGAUCACACGAGUUGGACCGCAAGUAAGCUUGCAUCUGCUAUUGGGGUACCAGUGGAUGUACUCAAUCGAAGGAUAAAUUUUUGGAUAAGUAAGGGAAUUCUUGCCGAAUCAGUUGGGGCAAAUGCUAAUGAUCAUGUAUUUAUCCUUGUGGAAGGCAUGGUUGAUGCUAGUAAGAAUGGUGGUAACAGUGGGAGUUGUGAGGAACUGCUAGUUGGUGAUGAGGAGGGAGAGAGAUCUGUAGCCUCUGUUGAGGACCAAAUUCGCAAGGAAAUGACUGUGUAUGAGGUAUGUGAUACGAUGUAAAUUUUCUGGGUAAUCAUUGUUAUUUAUGAAUGCAUAUUUUGAGUAUUGUUUUAAACUGUUGUGAGAAUAUUUAUUAAUUUGUUCUUGUUACAAUUCAUCCUUCGAAGAUUGUUUUCAAAAUUAGCUUCUUUGUUUUCAAAAUUAGCUUCUUGCAUCUGCUGGGGGUUGAUUGAUUCUGAUUUUACUAAUCUGACUAACGUUAUAUGGCUACAUUCCCUGUCAUCAAAGCCACUGUUAGAAUUGGAAAGUUCUAACAGUUUGCCUCAUUGAUAUUUGUAUUUAGGAGGGGAUUUAAUUUGAUUUAGUUGCUCCAAUCCUCGCAGUUUGUUGCAGUAACAAUACGUUCUUAGUUAAAACAUUAGUUCUAGACAGUAUGAAGAAGUAUGUCAGGUUGUUCUAUUUGAGGUGUAAAAUGGGUUUGGGAUGGCUAUGGAGCAACUGCUGGGUAACUCAUUGGUCAAGUAAGAAAUAUCGGAAAAAAGAAAAUCUGGAUUUUGUUGUGCAUGUGGAGUUUGACAAUUUUUUAAGUCUCGCAUGUUCUCUCUUUUCUAAAGGGCAUUUGGCUUCUUGUAGAAAUUUAUAAUGGGGAUGCUCACUAAUUUCGGCAGCAUGGCAUUGGAUCGCAUCCACAACACUCUCAAGAUGUUUUGUGUAGCUGAUCCUCCUUAUGACAAGUCACUCCAGCAGCUGCAAAGCUUUUUAUCAGGUUUAGUUUCUGAAGAGAAGUUAGAAUUGAGAGAUGGAAUGUACUUCUUGAAGAAGUAACGAUCCGAUAUGAUCAUAAUUCGUCAUACUUCAUAACCAGUGCAAGUGAGUUUUGUUUUAUAACUGUAUCAUAGACCAUGCACCAUAACUAUCACAAUAUCAUCAUCAUCAUCAUCUAUCUAGUGUGGUUUCACUGCCUUGUUAGUGUUUCUCCUUAAUUGGAAGAUAUUGCUUUCUAGUGGGAGUUUUUGGUAACAAGCAACCUAGGUUUUGGCCUGGUAAAUAUAGCUGGAUGAUGAUGGAGAUAUCUGUUGGAGAGUUUUGAUGUGAUCAUCAGCAACACUAACUAGCCUUCUGACUAAUAUUCUCUUCCUGCGGUGCUAAGUGCUUCUGUUGUGCAAGGUGGAGCAAAUUAUGAGAUCUUUUCAUGGAUUGCAAAGGUGAGCGUCCUUCCUAAGAAUGCUUUCCCAUAUUCUCAUCACAAGAUGGUACUUUCUGCAGAUCAUAUAGACGUAGAUCUAUUGGUCAUAUGUAAAUGUUUUCUUAGGGCUGCAGAGAUUUCAAUUAGUCUCCGUUCACUUUUGUCACGUAUCUAUGUGUUGAAUGUGUUGGAUUAUGAUAAGUUGUUGAGCAGAUACAAUUUUGUGUGACAUUAAAUCUUUCCAAUGGAAUUUGCAUGUGGAAAUCAUUA
rnacentral:misc_RNA from 1 species